UUGACUUCAGUUGUGUUCGCAGCUGCCGCGUGUGCGUCCUGUUUUAUUGACUCGAAAUUGCCGCUGUCGUUGACGUCGUUGUUUUCGGUGUUUGCCGUCGCUGAGUUGACGCGGCGUAUGCUCAAUUUGAUCGGUGAUUAAGAUGCUGCAUCUGCCGCUAAUCGAACGAGCCGAGUGAAUGCCGUUCGCCGAGUCAUCGCCCAAUGUAUUAAGUGCCAUAUGAAUACACACUGGAGUGACGCCUAAAGGGCUGAUAGUUUGACGAGUUGACAGGCAACGGGUAUUGCCUCAGGCGUCUGUUUGACAGCCUCAAAUUUUUGCCGCCCAAAGUGAAUUUCAAAAAUAACAACAGCAACAGCAACAACAAUGUCGUAAUCAGCUUGCGUGUGUGUGAAUAUGCGUAUUCGUGCGUGUGUCAGCGUGUGUAAUCCAAGAAAAUCUGUCACGUGCUUUGGAUAUCCCUGUGUGCUACUCCACACGCAGCGUAUUUAUUGAAUAAAAUAAAAGAUAAAUGCGUCCGCACACAAGCGGACAGACACAGAGAACGUAUACAAGUCCAAAGGAUACGAAAUUGGCUCCCAAACCUGACAGAUGUUGUUUUUCCAACAAGAAUAACAGCUCAGCCAAGUUGUUCAAGUAGAACCCACCCGCCAAUGGCAAUGGGCCAAGGUCUAUUUACUCAGCAGCAAGUGGAGUGUGUAUACAAAUAGAGCAAGCUCGAACAACAACAGCAACUAUUGAUAAGCUAAAACAAUAAACAAAUAAAUAAUCGUAUGCAAAAAUUAUCAUCGGAAGCGUAAAAACUUUGGCUCAAUAAAAUUGGCCAUAAAAUCAAAGCGAACGAGCCGUCCCAUAAAAAACGCCGAUUCUUCGACUCCGAUAAACAAUAUAUACGAUAUAUAUAAAUGACAAAUAAGUUUUAUUUGGCGAAUUCCGUCAACGUGUGCACAAAUCAGGAUCUUGCACAUUGCGAAUACGCCACGAGUUUCCGCAGUCAGCAUAAAAUACAAAGGGAAAAAUAAAGUUUUAUUUUACUUUUGGCUAGGUGCUAAAUGCGUUUACAUAUCUCUGGCGCGGCAAUUGCCGCCUCCGUCUCCACCAGUGCAGCCAAAUUGAAGUGAAAGUGCCAAGAUUCGCAUUAUUUCUGCGUAGGUGAACAUUAAUCUCUAGCCCUGCGAGAGGAAGGGCGCAUUAUGCUGCGCUUGUGGAAAAAUCGAUCCAAAAUGCGAAUAGACGCCGUUAGCAUGGCCCACAGCCGCAGCCACAGCAGCAGCACCACCACAAUCACCACCACCACCACCACCACUACCACCACCAACAGCAGCAGCAGACAACCACAUCGCACCAAGCAGCUGACGCAGUUACUUAUUGGCAGCAUUCUCUGCAUGACAAUUGCAUCGCAUCCACAGACGAAAGCAGCGGCUACUGCUCCACCCGCAGUCACAGCCGGCUUCGAUGAGCGGGUCGUGGAGGCAUCCUCGUCAGCGGCUCUUGCCUUUCCGGCGGCUCAAGUGUCAUCCUUGCUGCCAGAGGUGAGCGCCUUGUCGGCCACUGCUGUCCUGGUGGAGCCCUAUCUGGAUGGCUAUGCCACAUCGAAUGUGACCACGCAGAUUGGCACUCACGCCUAUUUGCCCUGUCGGGUUAAGCAGCUUGGCAACAAAUCAGUAUCCUGGAUUCGUCUACGUGAUGGCCACAUACUCACGGUCGACAGAGCUGUGUUCAUAGCGGAUCAGCGCUUUCUCGCCCUCAAGCAGCCAGAUAAAUACUGGACGCUCCAAAUAAAAUAUGUGCAGGCGCGGGAUGCGGGCACCUACGAGUGCCAGGUCUCGACCGAGCCGAAAGUGAGCGCGCGCGUGCAGCUGCAAGUUGUUGUUCCUCGCACCGAAAUACUCGGCGAACCGGAUCGCUAUGUCAAAGCUGGCAGCAAUGUCGUCCUGCGCUGCAUUGUGCGGGGCGCCUUGGAGCCUCCGACGUUCAUCAUGUGGUACCACGGAACCGAGCAGCUGGCCGCCGAUUCACGGCGCCAUCGCACGCAAUUGGAUCCCAAUCUGCCAGAGGCCAGCGGCGAGGGACAGAGCACGAUCGGCUCAUUAAUCAUCGAGUCGGCCAAGAAGCGCGACACUGGCAAUUACACUUGUAGCCCGUCAAACAGUCCCAGUGCGACGGUAACGCUCAACAUUAUAAAUGGAGAAUCUUCGGCCUCUGCUGUGACGUCAUCGGCACCCAUCACACGUGCAUACACACUGUGCAUUCUGGUUUUGCUACUGAGUGUUAUCCUGAUUGGCGUGGCCCAACGGACAUGACAGGUCGAGGGUGCCGGCAAGAAGCAGCUGAAUUAAUUCAAAAAGAAAACUAUGUGCAAAUGCUAAUUAGCAGUCGAAGCAAACAUAAAUACAAACGAAGCCAACAAGCGUUUAUAAGAAAAUAUAAUACAGAAGCGAAAUCGAAAAAAAAUAUGCCAGAAAUAUAAAAAGUAAUCGAGUGCAUAUUGUAAUCUAGUUGAUUUUAUCUGCUAACUCUAUAUAAGUAAAAUGCCCAUAAAAGAAAGUCUAAACAAAAGUUAUCGACAGGCAGUAAUGGUAAAAGAAUGCAACUAAAUUCCGAAGCAUAGCUAUUUGGACAAACGGAAGGACAGCAAGUCCAGGCCCCAAUUGAAAUAAAAAUAAUAUUUGAUAUUUUGCAAUAAAACGCAUUCAGUUGGGCAACUGAUAUGCAUUUCCAUUGGAAAAUAUUUACGGGCGUGUUCAAAGAGAGAGAGCGAGACAGAG